rnacentral:rRNA from 1 species
AUUGAACGCUGGCGGCAGGCCUAACACAUGCAAGUCGAACGAGUGGCGGACGGGUGAGUAAUGUCUGGGAAACUGCCUGAUGGAGGGGGAUAACUACUGGAAACGGUAGCUAAUACCGCAUACCAUCGGAUGUGCCCAGAUGGGCUUGGCUAGUAGGUGGGGUAAAGGCUCACCUAGGCGACUAUCCCUCGCUGGUCUGAGAGGAUGAACAGCCACACUGGAACUGAGACAGCGUCCACACUCCUACGGGAGGUAGCAGUGGGGAAUAUUGCACAAUGGGCGCAAACCUGAUGCAGCCAUGCCGCGUGUAUGAAGAAGGCCUUCGGGUUGUAAAGUACUUGCAGCGGGGAGGCGUUACCAGCAGAAGAAGCACCGGCUAACUCCGUGCCAGCCGCCGCGGUAAUUC